rnacentral:rRNA from 1 species
AACGUAGGAGACAAACGUUAUCCGGAGUUACUGGGCGUAAAGGGCGUGUAGGUGGUUUCGUAAGUCUGGCGUGAAAUAUCUCGGCUUAACCGAGGCAGGUCGUCGGAUACUGCGGAACUAGAGGACGGUAGAGGCGUGUGGAAUUCCUGGUGUAGCGGUGAAAUGCGCAGAUAUCAGGAGGAACACCAAUGGCGAAGGCAGCACUCUGGGACGUGACUGACGCUGAGACGCGAAAGCGUGGGGAGCAAACAGG